UCUUUCUUCAUCAUUCUCUCUUCCAUUGUUCGCUUAUUUCUCUGCAUCAUUUAUCAUAUCAAUCCUUGACACCUCCAUUGUUUUCUUCUCUCUUUCAUCCUAUCUACUAUCGAUCCUCUCUCUGCUUCUUCUAUUUGUAUCAUACACCUAUUUUUUCUCAUUUUUUUAACUACAAGGUUGCGGCGACCACCUUUGCCCAAAUUGACACCGCGUUGUACCGGCCACUUUCCCCUUUCGUACCACACCAACACAACUGGGCAUGAUGUAGGCGUUUCAGCCGCGCCAUCCGCUUUUUAUAAUAGAGCGUUUUGAAGAGCUUUACUUCGCAAUGGACGAGAACGAUUAUUCACAAUGAUCUGAUAUUGGAGGUCUGGGACAAUGAGGGUGACUUUGAUUUGCACA